rnacentral:rRNA from 1 species
GAUGAACGCUAGCUACAGGCUUAACACAUGCAAGUCGCGGGGCAGCAUGGGGGUUGCUUGCAACUCCCGAUGGCGACCGGCGCACGGGUGAGUAACGCGUAUCCAACCUGCCCUUCACCACGGGAUAACCCGGCGAAAGUCGGACUAAUACCGUAUGUUGUCCAUUGACGGCAUCCGAUUUGGACGAAAGGCUUUGCGGUGAAGGUUGGGGAUGCGUCCGAUUAGCCAGACGGCGGGGUAACGGCCCACCGUGGCUACGAUCGGUAGGGGUUCUGAGAGGAAGGUCCCCCACACUGGAACUGAGACACGGUCCAGACUCCUACGGGAGGCAGCAGUGAGGAAUAUUGGUCAAUGGGCGUAAGCCUGAACCAGCCAAGUAGCGUGCAGGAUGACGGCCCUAUGGGUUGUAAACUGCUUUUAUGCGGGGAUAAAGUGGCCCACGUGUGGGCUUUUGCAGGUACCGCAUGAAUAAGGACCGGCUAAUUCCGUG